rnacentral:ncRNA from 1 species
AUGUCUACAGGGGAUGGGGUCCCCCGUAUAACCGCCACGGCCAGGCUGAUGACUCCUACGUCGUA